rnacentral:piRNA from 1 species
UGCGCUUCGAGGUGCCCAGUGGCGAC